rnacentral:rRNA from 1 species
CAUGCCUUACACAUGCAAGUCGAACGCGAAAGCGGGGCAACCCGCAAGUAGAGUGGCGAACGGGUGAGUAAUACAUCGGAACAUUUCCAGUAGCGGGGGAUAAUUUGUCGAAAGAUAGGCUAAUACCGCAUACGAUCUACGGAUGAAAGCGGGGGACCGAAAGGCCUCGCACUAUUGGAGUGGCCGAUGUCGGAUUAGCUAGUUGGUGGGGUAAAAGCCUACCAAGGCGACGAUCCGUAGCUGGUCUGAGAGGACGAUCAGCCACACUGGAACUGAGACACGGUCCAGACUCCUACGGGAGGCAGCAGUGGGGAAUUUUGGACAAUGGGCGCAAGCCUGAUCCAGCCAUGCCGCGUGAGUGAAGAAGGCCUUCGGGUUGUAAAGCUCUUUCGGUGGAGACGAAACGGUUCGUGUUAACAACACGGACUACUGACGGUACCCACAGAAGAAGCACCGGCUAACUACGUGCCAGCAGCCGCGGUAAUACGUAGGGUGCAGGCGUUAAUCGGAAUUACUGGGCGUAAAGCGUGCGCAGGCGGUCUGUUAAGACAGGUGUGAAAUCCCCGAGCUCAACUUGGGAAUUGCGCUUGUUACUGGCAGGCUAGAGUGUGGCAGAGGGGGGUGGAAUUCCACGUGUAGCAGUGAAAUGCGUAGAUAUGUGGAGGAACACCGAUGGCGAAGGCAGCCCCCUGGGUCAACACUGACGCUCAGGCACGAAAGCGUGGGGAGCAAACAGGAUUAGAUACCCUGGUAGUCCACGCCGUAAACGAUGUCGACUAGCCGUUGGGAGCCUCGAGUUCUUAGUGGCGCAGUUAACGCAAUAAGUCGACCGCCUGGGGAGUACGGGCCGCAAGGUUAAAACUCAAAUGAAUUGACGGGGGCCCGCACAAGCGGUGGAGCAUGUGGUUAAAUUCGAUGCAACGCGAAGAACUUUACCAGGUCUUGACAUCCUGGAAACUUUCUAGAA